rnacentral:misc_RNA from 1 species
GUAGGUGAACCUGCGGAAGGAUCAUUACAGAAAGUAAACGCGGAUCAAACCGCGAACUUCUAAACCUUUGACGAUUGACUUAUGUUGCCUCGGCGGGUUCUCCCGCCAGAGGAUACAUCAAAACUCCUGUUUUAACGGUGUUGUCUGAGCUACAAGCAACGAAUCAAAACUUUCAACAACGGAUCUCUUGGUUCUGGCAUCGAUGAAGAACGCAGCAUCUGACUGACUCGGGCAUAAGUCAUCUCGUAUG